GGGAUUUCCUCACGCAAAAGGAGUCAUCAGCUGACUCUAGGACAUUUACCAGCAUAUGAUCUCCUUGGGUCUUCAUGGGUGCCAGCUAGCCCUCAUACUGUCCUCUGCAAGUGUGUCAAGCAUAGAUCUUCUGGGAGCCAGAAGAUCACCUGCUGCCUCAAAAGGAGCACUGCUUUGUUACUCCUUCCCUAGCAGAAUUUUUUCAUGAGAGGAAAUAUUUAGCCCUGAACUGUGAACCCAGAUGUACAUUAGAGGGCAGCAUGAAAGUGCCUG
rnacentral:lncRNA from 1 species